ACGAAGAAUCUGGUGUCUAUGGUUUAAGGGUCAUCUGAUUAUUCAUCGUAUACAGGAGACUCGUGUUCAAUUCCGCAGUGGGGUUGAGUUUUAUCGAGUGUCCGGGUCUUUCUGCUGGGAUGUCGUAAACAAAAUAAAUGCGUUUGAGAUGUGGUGCUUCUGUAGAAUUGCCAGGACAAGUUGGAAAAGAAAAAAAAAACCCAAGAGAUGAGUCAGAUUCUACACUCAAGACAGACCCUGCUGAGCAAAAUAAAAUGUAGAAAAAUGCAAUACUAUUGUCAUUUAAAAAGACACGAGACAAUUGAGAAAGAGGUGUUGGAAGGAAAUAUGUGCGGCUGGAGAGCCAGAGAAAGGCAACGAAUAACAUGGGUGGACAACAUCAGAGAACAUGGGCUGGAGUGGAGUGGAUAAUAUGUCAGAAUGUGAAACGGCAGCUCGCGGCCGUGAAAGAUAGAGGGUCAUUACUCGUCAGAGAUGUCACCUCCAGGUAUUCAGGUUGUAUCACUCUCAGCCCCGGGUGGCCCUAGUAGGCAGAGUCAAAAGUCCGCCUCUUAGAUAGUCUAAAGCGUGUCGUGAAGGACAUAAAAAUCACCCGUAUCGAACCCUCCAAAAUAUCGCCACGUAUAAAUGCAUGCAUUGGCUACUUCCUUCAUCUAACUCAGACUGUUUCAACUUUUCAGGUUUCUGCUCAAAUGAACGUGAGUGACGAUACACGUCGCCAGCCGAGUUACCAGCGACACAAGGGAUUUCGUCCAGUGACGUCACCAUACACGGUUGAUGACCCCAACCAGUGAGGUCACCAUAGCAGUCCGCCAACCACAGCAUUGUUCUUGUGAUGUGAACAGGAAAAAAAGAAACAAUUCCUGCAGUCUGGCUGUGAAACACAGACAGAAAGCGCCGUGGUUAUUACCACACAGGAAAUAAGCACGACCCGGGAGGUUUCUAACGUUAUCUAGAGUCAAACACAAGUCCGCCCUGUUGUCAGCGUGCACGUGUAUGGUGAGUACCUCGUUCACGGAGA